AUCAUAUACCUCAACAUCAGAUGAACCAUCAAAAGAAAAGGUUUCUGCAAAUUUAAUGCAACAUUCUUCAAGUUCAUUAUCAUUUAAUGACUUCAAAGUGCUUGAGCUCAUCAAAAAUCCAAAUAUAUCUUUAAACAUCAUGAGUUCUUCAAAUCUGUUCUUCAAAGAAGCGAUUGCCAUAUCAACCAAAACAAAAAAA
rnacentral:lncRNA from 1 species